rnacentral:rRNA from 1 species
GUAGCAUAAUCAUUAGUCUUUUAAUUGGGGACUAGAAUGAAAGGGUAAACUGGAAAAGACUUUUUUAAGGUAAAAAAAUGAAGUUGACUUUUUAGUAAGAAGGCUAAAAUAAUUCUUAAAGACAAGAAGACCCUAUAAAACUUUAUAUUUACUAUUUUAGGAAAAGAAAUAAAUAUUUUGCUGGGGCGGUAGGAAAAAUAACUUUUCUUAAUUUUAAAGACUUAAUGAGUCUUAAUACCUAAAAUUUUUAAAAUAAGAACAAGUUACUUUAGGGAUAACAGCUUAAUUCACUUUAAAAGUUCUAAUUGACAAGUGAGUUUAUGACCUCGAUGUUGAAUUAAAAGUCCUCUUUAGCGCAAAAGCUCUAAAAGGAGGUCUGUUCGACCUUUAAACUUUUCCAUGAUCUGAGUCA